rnacentral:tmRNA from 1 species
CCUCUUUUCAUGGCGGCCGGAAACACCUAUAUCACCCUUGCCGGGCACCCGCCCGGCUAUGGCAAUAAACGGUCGGUGUAAUAAACCUAUUGGACCCGGGGGCGGUACCCGGCGCCUCCACCAAAAACCGGUCGGUCCGAAGACCGGCUUUUGAUGGGGGCGAAAUAGGAUCGACAAGGGUGUAAAGAUCGAACUUUUGCUCGGCAUGAUACCACCGUCAUCGGGUCACAAGUGUAGUUGCAAACGACAACAACGCUAAGGAAUAUGCUCUCGCUGCCUAAUGGCGGUGCGGGAAUUCCGCUCUAAGCCCUUAGGGUUAGCACCUUAAGGCGGGGUCCGAAGGCACCUGGCAACAGAAGCCUUCACC